rnacentral:lncRNA from 10 species
GUCCUCUAGGGGGAAUGCUUUCAGUUUUUGCCUGUUUUCUAUGAUAUUGGCUGUGAGUUUGUCAUAGAUGGCUCUUAUUAUUUUGAGUUUCCUUCAGUGCCUAGUCAAUUGAGGGUUUUUAUCAUGAAGGGAUGCUGGAUUUUAUGGAAAGUUUUUCCUAUAUCUAUUGCAAUGAUCACAUGGUUUUUGCUUUUAACUCUGUUUAUGUGGUGAAUGGCACUUACUGAUUUGCGUAUGUUGAAACAACCUUGCAGCCCAGGAAUGAAGCCUCCUUUAUAGUGAAAACUGAGGAUUAGAACAAACCACAUCCUGAAAUGUGGAGAGACAGAUAAAUUCAGAGAGAAACAGCUGAGAUCUACUUACCUGGAACAAAAGCCACUGUAGCCACAAACUGCCAAUGAAAAUUUUGGAACCAUUUCUAUAAACUACAUAGCCAAUUACAAUUUUGAAACCAUCCCUAUAAACUUCAUAAAGUUAAUCAGGGAAGAAGAAAGGGGCAAACAACAACAACAAAAACAACAACAAAACCCAAGUUAGCAGCACAAGCAGCAUUCACCAUGAGGUCCUGCAUACCAAUGAAACUACUUAUGCCGGCUAGUCUGAAGGACCCCACAGGAGCUGACUCACUAAAGAAUGCAGUUUCCAUAUCCUGAGGACUUCAUCUACCCUACUCUGACAAGUCAACAACCCCAAUUCUCCAGCCCCUCACCCUCCAUGAUCCCCUUAAAACCCCAGCCCAGAACUCUUUGGAGAGAUGGGUUUAUGUUCUCCUCUCAUCUCUUUGCUCUGUCCCCUAUUACCAUUAAACUCUUUCUCUG